rnacentral:rRNA from 1 species
GAUGAACGCUGGCGGCGUGCCUAAUACAUGCAAGUCGAGCGAACAGACGAGGAGCUUGCUCCUCUGACGUUAGCGGCGGACGGGUGAGUAACACGUGGAUAACCUACCUAUAAGACUGGGAGAACUUCGGGAAACCGGAGCUAAUACCGGAUAAUAUAUUGAACCGCAUGGUUCAAUAGUGAAAGACGGUUUUGCUGUCACUUAUAGAUGGAUCCGCGCCGCAUUAGCUAGUUGGUAAGGUAACGGCUUACCAAGGCGACGAUGCGUAGCCGACCUGAGAGGGUGAUCGGCCACACUGGAACUGAGACACGGUCCAGACUCCUACGGGAGGCAGCAGUAGGGAAUCUUCCGCAAUGGGCGAAAGCCUGACGGAGCCACGCCGCGUGAGUGAUGAAGGUCUUCGGAUCGUAAAGCUCUGUUAUUAGGGAAGAACAAAUGUGUAAGUAACUAUGCACGUCUUGACGGUACCUAAUCAGAAAGCCACGGCUAACUACGUG